CUCUUAGGAGAUUUCUCCGCAGUGUGGACGGGGGUCAGGAUUUGCAGGCGAGCAAGGGCAGAGAGGAGAAAUCGUACAGGAAUGAAGCUUGGAGAACAAGAGUGAAUUUUGGCCCAAGGUCACACAGCUGGGGUUCCAUCUGAUGGUCUAAGAUGGCUGCAGUGGGUCAUCACCUACUCGCUAGUAGGAGGAAACAAAGGGAGAAGAGAAUUUCCACUUCUCUUAAGGACACAUCUUGGAAGUGACAAACACUACUUCUACUUGCAACCAUUGAUCCGAGCUAUAUCUCAACGAUUUGCCCAGCUGCAAGAGAGACUGGAUGGGAGAAGAGAGAAAACAGAAAAGACAAUAGAAAAAGAAAAAAUGGGACAAGGUAUAUUUAUUAUACAAGUUCUCUCAUCCCUUACUUUCUUCUCUCCAUUUGUUUUUGAUACCACAACCAUGAAUUUUUCUAUCCAAAUGGACUUCCAUAAUACUCUUUGGGGAAUGGCCUAAGGAUGCUACCCUUGAAGCAGCCUGAUGACCAAUGAACUUAGAAAUAUUUGGAGAAGUUGCAGCUAAUUUUAUUUGGUCAAAGUUUACAUGAUUUCUCUUUGUGACAUUUUCUUCCCCGACAACCUAAAUGAAAUUGUAUAUUUCAAAGCUUUCAAGACAAAAUAAAAGUUUGAAAAAUCCCUUGCAAGUUAGUACUGGUAAAUUCAGUUAUUUUAACUCCAUAAAGAAGUAAACAUCAUCACAUUCCUCAUGAAAAACUUCAGCAAGAGCCACUGGCACGGUUUGAAUAUAAACAACCAGCACUAAAUGACUUCAUCAAGCUACAAUCCCUGUGCUCAGCGAUUUAGAGGAAAUCAGCAGCUUAACCAAGGUUUAUUCAUUUUUUUUUCUUUUGCUGAGCAAUUGGGGGCCAAAAAUAAAACACUAUUACAUCAAACUGCAGACAAAUAAAAAUCUGAAUACA